GUUCGAGGUCACGGUUUAGAGGUCAGACUCACCUAUAGAGAAGUCCUUAGGGUUCGAGGUCAGGGUUUAGAGGUCAGACUCACCUAUAGAGAAGUCCUUAGGGUUCGAGGUCAGGGUUUAGAGGUCAGACUCACCUAUAGAGAAGUCCUUAGGGUUCGAGGUCAGGGUUUAGAGGUCAGACUCACCUAUAGAGAAGUCCUUAGGGUUCGAGGUCAGGGUUUAGAGGUCAGACUCACCUAUAGAGAAGUCCUUAGGGUUAGAGGUCAGGGUUUAGAGGUCAGACUCACCUAUAGAGAAGUCCUUAGGGUUCGAGGUCAGGGUUUAGAGGUCAGACUCACCUAUAGAGAAGUCCUUAGGGUUCGAGGUCAGGGUUUAGAGGUCAGACUCACCUAUAGAGAAGUGUUUAGGGUCAGA